UUAGGCACCACCAAACAUUUGUAGAAUAUUGGUAUCAGUUGAAGGGAAGGUGGAAUUUUACUGGGGUCCCAACCCCCAAACUCCCAUUGACAUAUGAAACUUAACUAGAGGAGGAGUCUUAUGUCAUCGAUGGGGGUAGUGCACAUGCGAGUGUGUCUGCAUGUGUGUGUGCGGGGGUUUCAGAGGCUCAUCUGAGCCAGCACCAGCAAGGAACCAGUGGAAAUCAUGUGAUGGCAUCACUUACAGUGUAUUUUCAUAGUCCACCUUGCAAAAGUCUGGCUGGAAACCAAGGACAACACGGCUGUGUGUUUGAUUGCUUGGUGUGGAAAGAAUGCAAAGGAGGUCAGCUGAAGUGAUGCGAGGACAGACAGCACAGAGGGAGGGAGGGAAUACCAACUAAAGACCAACUUGCCUGACAAAUACCACAAAUUGUGAGUCGCAUUAGAGAACCGAAGCAGGCGAUGUUUUGUCAAUUAACCGGUGAUCCAUAAGAAGUUCAAGGCCGAGACACAUGGACGAGAGAGUGGCAGCGAGAAAACACACCACUCAACGAAACUCCACCUCGGCCAACCACAAAGCAGAAAUCAGCUCUGUACAGGGCAGGAGAACUAAGAUCCAUGACACGCUGAGUCGUGUUCACCUGCAAGAGGGGGUUGAAAGAUACAACAAGUGAUAGUGGCUAUAAAAAGUCCACACACCCCUGUUCCAGGAGAGAGGCGAGUCUUUCCUAAAUCGUAUCAAGUUCCAGUUCCAGUUCUUUGGUUGUCACAAAUUGCCGUCUUUGCCAUCACUCGUACCCUUCAUAGUAGAAGUCCAGACCUGUGAAAAGCAGUGAAGUCCAGAUCCAGUAUGUGUCGCUGAGAUUGUGCAGCUCUGCGGGCUCGCAAGUGCUUCCUGUGGAGAUCCUCCCUGUCGUAUGAUAGGCCCUCAUAGUGUUUUAUGUACGGACUGAUGAAGCUCAUGGGACCUGACAGAAUAGGAAAACAUUGUGCAUUUGUUUUUUGUGUGUGUUGCUCAACCAGUGGCUAAUUAUUAUGGGCACAGAAUGCCAAGGCCAAACCUAUCAGGCUACCCCGUGACAGAAAAACUGCUGCAGUUUUAAUAAUAUUAAUAAAAUGGUGGUCUUCUUGAUUAAGAUCACAAGCACAA